AUGGAGCCCAAUCCGUUCCUGAGGGAUCAGGUCAUGAUCUGUGUCUUUGAGACACUGGCCACUCAGGCUUCAGUUGACAUGAGAUCUACGAAAAAGGCACUGGUGAUGGUGACUUUUUACGAAGCUCCAGCCCAUGGUCACUCCCUGCAAAGCUCUGAACAUGUGCAUCCACAGGCCAGGCAGCGGGUGUCUACAAAGGCGGCCGAACUUGUGCUCUGCUUGGAGAGAGUAGAGGGCAGCAGCACAGUAGACAGCGUCUGGGACCUCAGGCCAGUUCCACAGCAGUUUAGGAAAGCAGGCGGCUCCAGGGGCUGGAGAAGUCGCCAUGCUCUGGAAAGACCCUGGGUGCGGAACUGCGAACACCCCCAGCCCGUAGCGGGCCGCCAUCGUGGACCCUCCGCCUUGGGACCAACAGCCGGGUAGCCGACCAGACACUGCAACUUCUCGAACGCCUGAAGAUGGUUCCGCUCCCCGCCCCGCCCUUCCAUGCAUCCUAGCAGUUUCACCUUGGGGACGGAAAACUUGGCUCUUUCCAAAUCUCUCCUGCUGUGGACACAGUGGAGCUAGGGCGGCUAGUUUCACCUUGUAAUUGUGACAUGCUGUCUCUCCAAGCUGCGGGCUUAGUGCAUGUCAUGUUCGAAGUUUGAUUUCUGGCAGACCAACAAAGGGCUGGUCGCCUUUUAAGGCCUCGCUGCAGGGUUGCCAUGUUUUUCAGGUUAAGUAUUGCACGACUACACGCUUCUGAUGCUGUCAUAGGCACAGCCUCAGCUCCGUGCAUGGUGGACCCACAAGAACAGAAUCUCCAUGGGGCAUCUUUGUGGGGCAUCCAUAUUACUGCAGGAUUUGGAAGAAACAAAUUUAAAUAACUUCUAAGAUGAAAAAAAUUGAACAUUUAAGACAAGGCAGAAAAGUCAUCUGCCUUUAAUAACUGUCAUCUGUGCCUCACAUGUCAGACUUUCUCCAAAAAAAAACUCUAAGGAGAACUUACUUCCAUUCUUAUAAAUAGUAAAAGUUAUAAAUCAUAUCAAGUCAAUUG